CGGGGACAUGCAGACUCCCCUUUCAGACGGUUCCCGUCCAAGCUCUGC
rnacentral:ncRNA from 1 species